GUAGGGAAUAUUGGGCAAUGGAUGCAAGUCUGACCCAGCCAUCCCGCGUGCCGGAAGAAGGCCCUCAGGGUUGUAAACGGCUUUUGACGGUGAAGAAUCGACAGGAUGCGUCCUGUUUUGACGGUAGCCGUUGAAUAAGCACCGGCUAACUCCGUGCCAGCAGCCGCGGUAAUACGGAGGGUGCGAGCGUUGUCCGGAUGUAUUGGGUUUAAAGGGUGCGUAGGCUGGAAGGUCAGUCAGCGGUGAAAAGCUAUCGCUUAACGAUAGUCUUGCCGCAGAUACUUCCUUUCUUGGAUGAGGAGGAGGCCACUGGAACGGAUGGUGUAGCGGUGAAAUGCAUAGAUAUCAUCCAGAACACCGAUUGCGAAGGCAGGUGGCUGUACCUUAAUCGACGCUGAUGCACGAAAGCAUGGGGAGCAAACAGGAUUAGAAACCCCUGUAGUCC
rnacentral:rRNA from 1 species